UCACAAAUAGGUUCUACUGGCUUCUAAACC
rnacentral:piRNA from 1 species